CAUUUGAAAUCAAUACAAGGAUAGGGGCUAUCAAGAGGUUAUGUCCCCAAAUGUAUUCAACAUGGAUCUGUGGAUGCAAUCUGGUCAUGCAAAACAUCAUAAAGAGGAUAUGUUUGUCUUAGAGAUUGACAAACAGGAGUUUGGUUUGAAACCAAUGAAUUGCCCAGGGCACUGCUUGAUGUUUAGCACAGGGUUCGAUCGUACAGAGAACUUCCUCUUCGCUUCGCUGAUUUUGGCGUUUUGCAUCGGAAUGAGGCCAUUGCUUCCCUGCAUGGAUUAACACAUACUAGGAGAUUUCAACAGGACGAUGCACAUAUUUUCUGUAGGAAGUCCCAGAUAAAAGAUGAAGUCAUAAAAGCCUUGAACUUCAUGAAUUAUGUCUAUCAAAUAUUUGGUUUCACAUAUGAAGUGAAACUUUCAACAA